CCUACGGGUGGCAGCAGUGAGGAAUAUUGGUCAAUGGGCGAGAGCCUGAACCAGCCAAGUCGCGUGAAGGAGGACGGAUCUAUGGGUUGUAAACUUCUUUUAUAGGGGAAUAAAGUGCGGAACGUGUUCCUUUUUGUAUGUACCAUAUGAAUAAGCAUCGGCUAACUCCGUGCCCGCAGCCGCGUUAAUACGGAGGAUGCGACCGUUAUCCGGGUUUAUUGGGUUUAAAGGGUGCGUAGGUGGUUAAUUAAGUCAGCGGUGAAAGUUUGGGGCUCAACCAUAAAAUUGCCGUUGAAACUGGUUGACUUGAGUAUAUUUGAGGUAGGCGGAAUGCGUGGUGUAGCGGUGAAAUGCAUAGAUAUCACGCAGAACCCCGAUUGCGAAGGCAGCUUACUAAACUAUAACUGACACUGAAGCACGAAAGCGUGGGGAUCAAACAGGAUUAGAUACCCGUGUAGUC
rnacentral:rRNA from 1 species